rnacentral:ncRNA from 2 species
CCCCCCGAGGGGCGCUGCAAGCCCGGCCCGCGCAACGCGGACCCGCCGGGAUCAGGCUCGGGGCCGGGUUCCUGAACAACCGCGCCCGUUGACC